UCUGUGAGGUGAUUUGUUAGAAGCUCCUUUUCGAGGCAGCUCUAUUUCAAAGAUUUGAUGGGCUUUGUGUGAGUGAAAUGUAACUUUUAUUGUCAUAACAUGCUGAUAAGUUAAGGGUAACUAUAUUCAGAUUGCUGUCUUCAAAAAAAAAAAAAAAAAAAAGAAGAAGGUGAGUUCCCAUUGUAGCUCAGCCAUAACGAACCCAGCUAGGAUCCAUGAAGAUGCAGGUUUGAUCCCUGGCCUUGCUCAGAGGGUUAAGGAUCUGGUGUUGCCAUGAGCUGUGGUGUGGGUCACAGACAUGGCUCAGAUCCCGAAUUGCUGUGGCUGUGGUCUCAGGGCAUCACUGGAUUCCCGAACCACUGAGUGAGGUCAGAGAUCAAACCUGUGUCCUCAAGGAUACUAGUCAGUUCUUAACAGGAACUCUCCUGCUUUUCUUUUCUUCUCCAUUAUAAGGGAAAUACCGCCAAACUAGUGAUCAUUCAAAGGAAGGUGAUUAGAUCUGAAAAUCAUGACUGAGGAAUGGUUGAAGGAAUUAAAUAUUUCACCUGAAGAAGAGACGAUGGGAAGAUGUUAGAAGUCUUCAGAUACGCAAGUGAUUUUCUAGAAUGCAAAUUUAGGACCAUUAAUUAGAAGUUACUACAUCAAAAUGAAGUUUGUGUUUAGCAUAGAAAGAUGACCAUUUGUAGGGGAUAUUGUAAAUGAUACUUACAGCGCAAUGUUGGAUCAGAAACUGGAGGGGAAUACUUCUAAGUAAAGUUCCUUCCAACUCUAAUACCAAUACAGGAGUGACUGAAACCUUCCAUAGAGUGAAAAGAAUGUUUUUAAAACUUUAUUGAAAGAGGAAUAUUUUCAGAUCAGAUAUUAGAAAAGGUUAUUAAUGAGCCACAGGUAAAAAUUAAGUAGUAUUAUUUCCCUAUAUGCUAGGAAGUCACAAUGGAAAAUUCUCACAAAAUAUUUGUUGCUCCAGGUCUGAUACUGUUGAACUGUCCUUAGGAAUAUUCUGGUUGCUUUCUGCUGCUGUGAAAGUGACCCUCAAACAGGGCCAAACAAGAGUAUUUUAGUCAUUGACUUUAAGGGUAAAUCCAAUGUCAUUAAUGGAAUUUCUGUAGAACUUUGCUUGAAUAGACACCUCUAGCACUAAAACUGUAAAGUCAUUAACUGGUAAAAUAACGAAAUAAUUAAGCUUAGCUUCCUGGAACAGGGAAAUCUUAAAAGAUACUAUAGUGUUGGGUCAUUUAAACAUUAACAUUUAAUGUUUUCUGUUCUUUUUCUUUAGUGGUUACCCAGGCUGUCCUUACCCACCUGGCGGUCAGUAUCCUGCCACAACAAGUUCCCAGUACCCUUCACAGCCUCCUGUAACCACUGUUGGUAAGCACUCCUCAAAAUUAUACUUCUCCACAUAAGGAAAGUCAGAGUCUCCUGUUGUGAAAAGUGCAUUUUUCAAUUUUGUUUUGUAUUGAGUAAGUUUGACAUGUAACAUUGUAUAAGCUUAAGGAGUGCAGUGUGUUACUUUAAUACACUUGUAUAUUGUCAUAGGAUUGCAUUGUAGCAAUAUUUAUUAUGUUAUAUAAUUAGCAUACAAUAUUAUUUCUAUCCAUUAUACCAUGCCUUAGAUCUCUAUUGCUUAUUACUCCUUACAAAUUUACACCCUUAAAUACCAUCGAUUUAUCAUUACCACCCCCAGUUUCACUGUUACAUGUGAAAUGUUAGAAUACUCUUAAUUUUUACAGCAGAACCUCUUAAAGGUCAGUAUUUUAUACUUUAAGAAGUGAAAUGAUUUAUCUUCAUGUAAGCGAGCCUUCUAGGCCAUAAAAGCAAAUUCGAUUGACUUUUAUCACUUUUUCCUGUGUUUCACAUAUUUUUUUUGAUGCACUUUGUAUGUGUCCAAUUAUUAACAGAUAGUUAGGUUUUCCUAGCCUGGUUAGAUGUAAAAACAGAUGAGCAUCUUUAGAAGAAACCACCAUUGGGAUAUUAUGAGUGGAUCAAGUAAGACAAAUCAUUGCAGGCCAGUAGUUCUUGCUUUCUUACGUUGCUUAUUAGCGUUACCUGAAAUUUUCUUCUGCUGAGAAAAGAAAGCAGUACCAGAACUUCUACAGAUUCCCACCCCCACAUGACUAUCUGCCUUCUCCCUGUUACCGUAGAUCAGUUAUCGUUGCUUCUACCCACUAGAUGUUAUCCUCUCUUCAUUUGCUCAGGGACAUCACUUCAGCACUUUCCCCUCUCAUCGUCAGUUUUUAUUCUCUGCUGUGUUGCUGUCAUCAGCACAUACAAAAAUAUGCCCUAAAAUAACCCUAAAAAAAUUCUCCUCUGGAGUUCUCUUAUGGUGCAGCAGGUUAAGAAUCUGGUAUUGUCACUGCAGCAGCUUAGGUCACUGCUGUGGCAUGGGUUUGAUCCCCGGCCCAGGAACUUCCACAUGAUGUGGGCAUGGCUUAAAAAAGAAAUCCUACUCUUAAUUUCACUUUGCCUGCCAUCACUGCUCCAUUUCUUCAUUCCCAUUUGCAGCAAAAUUCCUCAAGACCAUUAUCUAAGUACUCAUUAUCUUUAAUUCUUCUUUCACUCUUGAACCUCUUCAUUUGGGAUUUUCCUUAUGUCAUUCCACUAAAACUGCUUUUCUCAAGGUCACUAUUGACCUUUGUGAUAUUAAAUCCAGUAGCCAUGAGUUCCCGUCAUGGCUCAGUGAUUAACAAAUCUGACUAGCAUCCAUGAGGACACAGGUUCGGUCCCUGGCCUUGUUCAUUGGGUUGAGGAUCCGGCAUUGCCAUGAGCUGUGGUGUGGGUCACAGACGAGGCUUGGAUCCUGCUUGGCUGUGGCUGUGUUGUAGGCCAGCAGCUACAGCUCUGAUUCGAUUCCUAGCCUGGGAACCUCUGUGUGCCGAGGGU
rnacentral:lncRNA from 1 species